rnacentral:rRNA from 1 species
CCUACGGGAGGCAGCAGUGGGGAAUAUUGGGCAAUGGGCGCAAGCCUGACCCAGCAACGCCGCGUGAAGGAAGAAGGCUUUCGGGUUGUAAACUUCUUUUAAGAGGGAAGAGCAGAAGACGGUACCUCUUGAAUAAGCCACGGCUAACUACGUGCCAGCAGCCGCGGUAAUACGUAGGUGGCAAGCGUUGUCCGGAUUUACUGGGGGUAAAGGGCGUGCAGCCGGGAAGACAAGUCAGAUGUGAAAUCCCGCGGCUCAACCGCGGAACUGCAUUUGAAACUGUUUUUCUUGAGUACCGGAGAGGUCAUCGGAAGUCCAGGUGUAGCGGUGAAAUGCGUAGAGAUAAGGAAGAACACCAGUGGCGAAGGCGGAUGACUGGACGGCAACUGACGGUGAGGCGCGAAAGCGUGGGGAGCAAACAGGAUUAGAUACCCGGGUAGUC